GGGGGUGUGGUUCAGUGGCAGAGGGCCUGCCCUGCAUGCAGUGAAGCCCUGGGUUUGAUCCCCAGCACCCCAA
rnacentral:tRNA from 1 species